ACGGUGGAUUUGUAAGCCAAUCACUAUUGAGUUUCAGUGUGACGUCGUUUUUGUUGACACUUCCAUUAGCUGGCCACCUGCGAAACGUCACCGCAGCAGCGCGCUCCCGUGACCCUCGACGUCCACCCCGAGUUUUCUGCCUGGAAACAUCGCGAGCUAAUCGGAGCUGUGAAAACGCAAGAUUCCAGUGGUUGGAGGCGGCGUGGGAAAUGGGGUCGGAUCAAAGUACCAGUUCAGCUGCUGACCAGCAACAGAGGAAUACAGGCGAUCUGCCAUUCCAAGGUGAAGCAUCUUCAUCCAGUGUCCAAACUGAUACUGGUCCUCCUGAGCCCCCGGAUCCAGACCCAGACACUGACCUGCCCCAAUGCCGAAUGUGCUCCAGAAAGGUAGACGACAUGAGCUUCAUGAUAUCCUGCACUAACUGGUACUAAAGACCAGAGACGACUAUAUUGCCAAAUUCAUUGUGGGACAACAGAAGACAUGGAGACGCUAGAGUUGCAAUGCUGUUGAAAUGGGUUUGAUGCCAUGCAAUAUGUCAUGCAAUGUGCUUGAAGACAUCAAAGAUAAAGUUUUGGCUCAUGUAACCUGUCCUUCUUUACAGCUGUGCACUUAUGUACUGAUUGCUUUGUGUUAAAAAGCGUGUAUUAUGUAGUUGAUAUCAACUUGUACUAAUUAAAAUUUCACUGUAAAGCAUUCAUCCAGAAAGCACCAAACACUUGACAUUUA